AGAGAGCAGAAGAACAAAUGAGUAGCAAGAAAUGUGGCAAUGGCAGCAAGAGGUUGGUCUGAUACAAAGAAGAGGCCAUGAUCCAAGAAUCCUGGUACCCUCUGAAACCAGGAGGAAAAAAUCAAGAAAUAGAUUCUUCCUUGAAGCAUCCAAAUGCCUUGAUUUUGAGACUUCUCACCUCCAGAACUGUGCUAUUCGACUCUUUCUCCAACUCCUGGCAACAAUGCUGAAGGGAGAAAAAGGGAGCAAGAGAUCAAGAAGCAAAGCAAAUCAGUGAAUUUGACAACCUUAAUAAUGUUAGUAAAAGUCUUUUGGAUGUUGCUUUGCCAUUGAUCAGACCAGAGUAAUCGUCACAUCCAAGAGGAGUUGUACAGUCUUCUUUUGAAGUCACAAAGCUAUUUUUUAUCAUGACCAAGUCCAGGGGAAGCCACACUCCAUGUUAAGAGGACAUUCAAGCAGCCCAUGGAAAGGCUUAUUUGAAAAUUGGCCUCCUGCCAACAGCAACACCAACUUGUCAAGCAAGUGAGUGAACCACCACAGAAGUGGAUCCUCCACACUCAUUGAAGCCUUUAAAUGCCUAUAUAACAACAACUCUAACCAAUAUCUUGACUAUAACCUCAAGAGACCCUGAGCCAGAAUAUCCCGUCAAGCUGCUUCUAAAUUCCUGACCCAUAGAAGU